UAUUGCAGUUGAAAUGCUCAGACUAGAAGAGUGACUGUUAUUAGCUUUUCUUCCAUAGGAAAUCAGGCUUAAAAUGAGUAAUUUAAAGCCAAAACAAAGGGCAGACUGGCAGAGGUAAGCAUAUCCACUUAGGGACAGAUGGAUUGAAUCUGCACUUGCAUUUGGUAGCCAACUAGGUCUCUCCAGCACCUUCUAUUGAGAGAGCUUCAGUGCCAGUUGGCAAAGAGAAAAUAAAUUUAAAGAGACCAGAUCCAUGAACACAGACCAAGCAAGAAAGAAUGAAGAUGGAGCAAACAGACACAACAAAUAUUCAAGUACACAUGGGACAGUUCCUUCUGAAAAGAACCUGAGAACUACCUGAACACCUGCUCCACAACAAAGGAUAAAUGGACCACACUGAGACAGGGAAGGAGCCAGUAAUUAUGGAGAUGCCUAUCAAAUAACUAACAACAGGAGAAGAGGAAGAGAGGAGAAGGGAUGGCGGGGUGAAUCCCAGGGCA